rnacentral:rRNA from 1 species
CCUACGGGAGGCAGCAGUGAGGAAUAUUGGUCAAUGGACGCAAGUCUGAACCAGCCAUGCAGCGUGCAGGAUGACGGCCCUAUGGGUUGUAAACUGCUUUUAUGCGGGGAUAAACUGCGUUACGUGUGUCGUUUUGAAGGUAUCGCAUGAAUAAGGACCGGCUAAUUCCGUGCCAGCAGCCGCGGUAAUACGGAGGAUCCGGGCGUUAUCCGGAUUUAUUGGGUUUAAAGGGUGCGUAGGCAGCUUGAUAAGCGAGAGGUGAAAUGCCGUGGCUCAACCCCGAAACUGCGUCGCGUACUGGUGGGCUAGAGAAUAGGGGAGGUAGGCGGAAUGCAUGGUGUAGCGGUGAAAUGCUUAGAGAUCAUACAGAACACCGAUUGCGAAGGCAGCUUACGACAGUGUAUCUGACGUUGAGGCUCGAAGGCGCGGGUAGCAAACAGGAUUAGAUACCCUGGUAGUC